CUCAUCUGGCUGUGGCAGUUUGUGACUGAAUGAGAGAAAAGUGCCCUAGAAGCUAUUCAUUAGGAAUUCACUGGAAGCUCUCAAACAAGCCUGGCAGAAGCUGAAAUUGAAGUGGUCUCUGACCUAAUUUUCUUCUGCAUGAAACAUCUGCAUCAAGGCUCUCUUUGAUGUAUUCCACUUGGCUCUGUCUACAGUAUUGUAUCACAUGGCUUCAGUGUUGCCUCAGUUUUAAAAGACAUUUCCAGCCUGUAGAAGGUUUCUCUCUUUUGACUUUCCCAUUUGCUAUAUCAGCAGGCAAACAGCUCAAAGUUGGGAUCGACUGGAGCAUAAAGAGACAAUUUGGCACCUCCUUUGUACGGCAGCACUCCGAGCUGGACAGGAGAAAGUGACUGGCCCGAUCCUCCUCACCUUGGAUUCCCUGGUGUAGCUUCCUCUCCCGUGGCCCUGCUGUCUCCCAGUGGGAGGCAGAGCUCACACUCAGCACUGGCCCGGACCACUGAAGCUACGAAGGGAAGGGCAGAGUGAGUCCGGCUUCUUCCUCUAGCCUGGCCUUCACCGAGGAGGAGGAGCAAUUGCCCAUAACUGCCUGGAGAGGAGAGAGAAGAAAAGAGAAUGCCUCAUGACGUGAAUUAUUGACUGGCCAGGGUGAGGCAAGGAAACACAAAUUAAUUUCAGUUAGGACAAGGGGAUGCUCAUUGGGGCUCAGACUGGGGACAUUUGAUCUAAAACUGCUGCCUUAUUCACUUACCCUCCCAGUCCCACUUCGAAGUCUUGCUUUGAAUCAACAAUGCUUGAAAUGAAUCCAGGUUCCCCUCCCGGCCGCCCCCCCACCCCUUUUCUUCCGCCCUUUUCACACCAUGGAGGCAGUGUCUCCUUUUGUGUCUCUCCAGAUUUCUCAGUUGAAGCUGAGGAAGCCAUCUAUUGAAGGGGAGCCACAUCCGUCCAGUCCAGAGGAGGAGUAGGGUGUCCUCUGCUAGAGUUUAGAGCCCCUGUGGCCUCAGUCCGAUGUGAGCUGACAUGGUGUUAAUGAGUCAAAAUGACUUUCAUGGGAGAAAGCCCUGCAGUGGUUCACAGUUUGGGGUCUAUUUUUAGCACAGCUGGAAAACACAAGCACACAGAGAUAUUGUUUGCUGUCCUGACUACUGAGGCACAUAAUAUCCUGCUCCCAGGAGGGUUAAUUCCCUAUUCAUGAGCAAUCCUCUGUUUAGGACCAGUCUAGUGAAAUGUUCAUAUUGCUCCCCAGGAGGGGAGGGGAACUCAGUUGUCCAGCUUCCUCAAGAUCAUGGCCACUGGUUCCCUGGCUGAUUUCAGGGAAGUAAGCUGAGAAGACAGAAGGAGAAUAGAGGAGAACAGUGCUGAUAAAAGAAAUAGGUUCUUUUCUCUCCUGGACAGAAUGGCUGAAGGACCCCACUCAAGCUCUCCCUUGGAAAGAUGGAGAUGGUCUUUGCUAAUGUGGGUGGUUGCUGAUCUAAUGUGAGGCAGAGAGAUGGGGUGAGAUGGCAUGGUAAAGAAAUAUUUGAUCUCUAGAAGAUGGGAAGAGGGAGAAAAAGACUUGGUUUCCUCAAAUAUGAAACAAAUACAUAAAUAAUCACUUACUUUUGAAUGAUAUGGUAAUUAUUUUCCAUAAAAACAUUUAGGUAUGCCUGACUGAGAAGAAAUAAAACAUAGAAGGAUCAUUUCA
rnacentral:lncRNA from 1 species